AAGUCGUAACAAGGUUUCCGUAGGUGAACCUGCGGAAGGAUCAUUACCGAGUUAGGGUCCCUCUCACGGGGCCCGACCUCCCAACCCCGUGUCUAAUAAACCUGUACGUGUUGCUUCGGCGGACCGGUUCGCUGCGUGGUCUCACGACCACAACGCCUGCCGCCGGGGGAAAAGGAGUUCACCCUCCCCCCCUGGAGAGCGUCCGUCGAUGGCCCAACCAAACAAACUCCCAAACCAAAAUGUAUGUGAAACACAAUUCUGAAUCAGACCUUUUGAUAUACCAAUCAAAAACAAAACUUUCAACAACGGAUCUCUUGGUUCUG
rnacentral:misc_RNA from 1 species